rnacentral:rRNA from 1 species
CCUACGGGGGACAGCAGUCGGGAAUCUUUCGCAAUGGGCGAAAGCCUGACGCAGCGACGCCGCGUGAGGGAUUAAGGUCUUCGGAUCGUAAACCUCUGUCAGCAGGGAAGCACGGUCACUGUGCUAAUCAGCAGUGAAUUGACGGUACCUGCAAAGGAAGCACCGGCUAACUCCGUGCCAGCAGCCGCGGUAAUACGGAGGGUGCGAGCGUUAAUCGGAAUUACGGGGCGUAAAGCGCUCGUAGGCGGUAUGUCAAGUCAAGGGUGAAAUCCCCGCGCUCAACGUGGGAACUGCCUUUGAAACUGGCAAACUGGAGUGUGUGAGAGGAUAGUGGAAUUCCAGGUGUAGGAGUGAAAUCCGUAGAUAUCUGGAGGAACAUCAGUGGCGAAGGCGACUAUCUGGCACAUAACUGACGCUGAGGAGCGAAAGCGUGGGUAGCAAACAGGAUUAGAUACCCGGGUAGUC